AGAUUUGAAUUCACAUUAUUUUUUUUCCUUAUUUAGUUUUCAAUCUUUUAAAGAGUUAUAGACUAAUUCGAAUUUUAAAUUGCUUUUUAUGUCAAAGUUGAUAAAAAUAAUCUAAAUAUUCAAAUAAAGCUUUGAUACAUGCACAGUUUAACAAUAUAUUAUUAGUAAGGUACAUGCAUUCAUUUUUUGCUAGAAAGAAAAGUAUUUAAAAUUCCAAUUGUUUGAUAAUAAGUUAAGUUAUAUAAAUAUAAAUGAUAUUAUAUUAUUUAUAGCAAUAGGAAAUUGCUAUUACAGUGUAAAAUAGGGUAGGGCUAACGUGUCAUUUGUGGUCUUCGGACAUCAUUGCGGACAUUUAUGGGCUUCUCUUCGGUUAUUAAUGCUGCCAUCAAUGCAAAACUUACCCCGUUAGGGUUUUCGCCGUCUUGAUUGUUGAUGCUGUUUCAGUUCACUCUCUCCUUCUCCGUCCUCAACCGCUCGCCGUCGUUACUCCUGCGUUUGCUAGGACGAUUGCGUAGUGGGCCUGUCGCUGUCUCCGCCGUCGAGGGUCGCAUGGCGUGGCGGACCUAGGUAACGACGUGGCCUCCAGCAACUCGCCGGCCGGGCGGAAGAUGCCUUGGAUGGUGUUGAUGGCUGUGAGAUCUGGGGCAGAUUUGACAGGAAUAAUUUUUUCUCCUUUUAAACUGAUGAUGUUAAUCUCCUCCAUGCUUAUGCUUAGUUGUCCUCCAGCAACUCACCGGGGUGGCGUGGAAUACGUCCACUGGUGUAGAUGGCUGUGAGGAUUUGGCCGGAUUUGAUAGGGUUUAUGGAUUAUCGAUUUGACCUUGAGGUUUAUCCUGUAUUUGGCCCAUUUUUCUCUCUUAAACUGAUCUGCUCUCUGUUCUUGCAAUUCCUGAUUUUUGCUAUAAAUAGCACCUCUGCUCUUGCUCUCCUUCUAACUUUUUUGCUUUUUUACUCUUCUCUUUGGUUAUCGCUUGGUUGUUCUGUUGCCUUUGUUGCUUUGGUUUGGCGCUGGUAUCAUGAGGUGUGGAAGAGCCGUUUUAUCCUCCCUCCUUCUUCUUAUAGGCUCUUUUAUUCCCUUCAUGUAUACUAAUCUCUUUUGCGUCCUCUGUUUCUUACUGUAUGUGGGUAUACGUCGUUUGUCGUAUUGCUAGGCGGGUUGGCUCUGUUCUUUGAGAAAAAAAGGUGCGCCUAUUUUGCCAUUGUUCAUUUGCUUGCAGUGUUUAUGGUACUGUCUGCUAACUAACUGUGCUAACUAACAGCUCUUUGUUUAUACAUGUUUAUUUUCUUUUUGGCGAAAUGGCGGUGUUGAAAUGGCGGGAGUUCUUUUGCUGCUUCUAUGUUGGCCGAUGGUUUACUAGCUUAUAAGGUAUGGCGGUUUGGAUGGUCAUAUGGCAACCACUGCAGCCUGUGUAAAAAAAUAUAGGUUCGGGUAGUGUUGUGCUGUUUUUUCUAUUCCUACUUUUUUCCAUAUUGUUUAAAGUAUUAGCUAAUAUUUUUGUACAUUAUUUUAUAUUGGUUUUGUGAAGGCUAUGAUGAUGGCUCUUUCUCAAUAGCGGUGCUUUGCAGCCAGCAAAUAAUAUUGACUGUUUUUUAGGAAAGACAGAUUGCUUGGCCCUCUUGAGUGUUUUUCUCAAUAAUAUUGAUUGUUUUCUGUACAUGUAUGGUUUCAAAUGGUUUUGUUCUAUCUUAUAAAAAUAUAUUUUUUUUAUUGUAUAAGCUGUGCAUCAAAAAAAGUUUUAAAUAUAUGAUUUAGAUUAUAGGUUUUGUCACCCUUUUUUGUUAUUCAAACAAUAAUUUGUUUGUUUAAAACUAUUAUGUCCCAUGGCAUUUAUUUAUCUUUAUAAAUGUGAGGUACUUGAGCUUAAAUUUGAAAUGCCAAAUACAAACAAUUGAUUUUGUUAUUAAUUAUACUAUGAAUGGUUUGUUGUAGUAUUACUUUCUUAAUAUGUUCUCUGCUCAGGCAUGGCAGGUUGAUUGUUCUAAUGACAAUGUCUGCAGCCUGCGCGAUUUACUGAAUAUUUUGUUCUAUUAUGCAAUAGAUUGGUAUUGAAUUACAAUCAUUGUGCAAAUACAUUGAGCCUAUCUGAGCCAAUAUUUUUGUGCUUUUAUUUCUGGUAUUUUUCUUACCUACCAAAUUUAUGGAAGAAGCAUAUGAAUUAGAAACUGAACCGUUCCAAACACGCCAAGUCGCAAUGCACAAGAGGUGCAAGCCGCGAGUGUGGGUGCAAUAUGCGGGUGCGGUUUGCGGUCGUUGCUUUCUUUUUAAAAGUAUUUAAAUUUUUUUAUAUAUUAUACUAAAACUAAUCACUAUGCAAACAUUUAUUUCUCUUUUAUGUUAUUAUGUUUCCUUAAUGUCCAAAUUUUGUAGGAAUCUGGUUGUCUCAUUGAGCUGAAAAGAAUGUGUGUUUUUUUGAUAGUCAACAAAGUACAAUUCCAACAUUUAAAAAUAAAAUCUAGAUCUUAGUUAAAUUAUUCAACAGCUUACACUUGCUGUUGCAUUCUUAUUGUGGGUUUAGGAUUUAGGAUUUAGGGUUUAGGGUCUAGGGUUUACGGCUUCUGAUUUAGGGUUUAUGGUUCAUUUUUAUAUCUUUUUGGGUUUCUCUUUAUUGCAGCAUUAGCAAUUUUGAAUCAUAAGUAUUAUGUUUAGUUCCUACAUUUGUCUAAAGUAUUUAUGUAUAUCUAUCAAAUAUACUUUUGGAUAAAUUUGUAUGCAAUUAUUAAAUUUGUGUCUCAAAUUUAUGGAAAGCAGUUUGCUGCUAAAUCGUCUACAUUAAAUGAAAUUGAUUUAGGCCAGUUUUUUUAAUGAUAUUGAGAAUGUUGUUGCAUAGUUAAAAGACAUAUUUAUUAUAUGCUGCUUCAUGUACUUCCCGACUGAGGUGAAAUAUGUUGCAUAUUGUA